UUUCUGUAGCCUGUCAUGGCUGCUAAAGCAGGGGGCUGAUCCCACGACUUAGGUACCCUCUGAUGGACUAUGCCUUCCUUCAGAAGAAAAGCACAUGAAAGGCCUUGUGCUAGGCUCUGAGACUGCACUGGAAUGGUGGAGCAGGUGCUAUUGAUGCUGGCUGGGUUACUCAGAGAUGAAAGAAGACUUGCAGAGAGAGGGCGAUAAGAUUCUGGAAGCAAUGAAACUUACAGGCUUCAAGAAUCUCAGAAAGUUGCUGGACUCACAGGAUGUGUCUCCAGGUCACACGGGCAGCAGGCAUUGCAAAGCGAAAGAAGACUCUUCAGGGGAGCUGCCUGCUACCUGCCGAAAAAGUGCCAGGGAUGGAGCUUCUGGGAGUGUCACCAACUACGAGUGGGAUUUUUAGUGAUGCAGCUACCUUUGAGUCAAUUCAUGCUGCAAUACACCAAUUGGUUCGCCAGGCUGGUCUUGGUGGAACUGUUUACUUAUUCUGGCAUUUGGUCUUUUGUUGGUGCACCACAUGAAGUGAACAAAUGUUUGUUCAUGUGUCCUCAGGAAGUUAUGUAACACAGGGCUUAAAAAUUAACCACCGUUUCUUUGUGUGUGUGUAUGUGUGUGUUUCAGUCUAUCCACAAUGGAAAUUAGAAUGGAGGUUCUUCAAAAACUAAUAAAUAGACCUGCCACUACUGGGAAUUUACUCCAAGACUUCAAGUCAAUACACUACAGAGGUAUUUACACAUCAGUGUCUUUUGUAGCAGUUUCCACAAUAGCUAAGCUAUGGAACCGACCUAGGUGAACAUCAACAGAGGGAUGGAUAAGAAAAAUUUGGUGUAUUUAGAUGAUGAAAUUUUUUCCAACUAUAAUGAAGAAUGCAGUUGUGUUGUUUGUAGGAAAAUGGAUGCACUAGGAGAUAACUGUGAGAAGUGAGUUGAUCCAGUAUUAGAAAGAUACAUAUGUCUUCUCUCAUGUGGUGCCCAGAUUUUGUAUAAACUUAUAAACUAGUGUAUGUCUAUAAAUCAUGAAAGUAUAGUGAUUGUAGGAAAUAAGAAAUCAAGAUUGAUCUAAGUUGGAAGCUCCUUCUCUGCUGGCUAGCUUUUGUAGUGUUGGAAGGUGUUACAUUAUGUAAACUACUGGUGGUGAAAAGUCAUCAACCAAUAUACCCAGCUGUGCACCCCAUAAGAUACAGUUGUGCCCACUGGUGUAAUAGUGUCAUGAGUAUUAUGGGGAUAACCAACUGCUUUCUGAUUAUAAUUGAGGCCUGUUCAUAGGAGGGAAAUCGUUCCUGGUUCCGUAAACCUGGCCAAAAGAUAUGGUUGGGGAAGUCAUGGCCCCAGUGAGAAAGUUACUGCUGUUGUUUUGCUAAAUGAAUCUGGU